rnacentral:rRNA from 1 species
GUCAGGCGGGGCCACCCGCCGAGUUUAAGCAUAUAAAUAAGCGGAGGAGAAGAAACUUACGAGGAUUCCCCUAGUAACGGCGAGCGAACCGGGAUCAGCCCAGCUUGAGAAUCGGGCGGCCGCGCCGUCCGAAUUGUAGUCUGGAGAAGCGUCCUCAGCGACGGACCGGGCCCAAGUCCCCUGGAAAGGGGCG